AGGGUUUGAUCAUGGCUCAGGAUGAACGCUGGCGGCGUGCCUAAGACAUGCAAGUCGAGUGGGUUUAGGCCCACGGCGAACGGGUGAGUAAUACCUAGGAACUUUCUUUAAGUGGAACAUAACCAGCCGAAAGGUUGGAUAAUACUCCAUGCCACCGCAAGGUGAAAGUCGCAAGACGCUUAAAGUGAGGCCUGGGCACCAUCAGCUAGUUGGUAAGGUAAUGGCUUACCAAGGCUAUGACGGUUAGGGGUCCCGAGAGGGAGAACCCCCACACUGGAACUGCGACACGGUCCAGACUCCUACGGGAGGCAGCAGUUUGGAAUUUUGGACAAUGGGCGAAAGCCUGAUCCAGCGACGCCGCGUGGACGAUGAAGGCCUUCGGGUCGUAAAGUCCUUUUGCUCGGGAACAAUAUUUUGAGCGUACCGAGAGAAUAAGAGGUUGCUAACUCUGUGCCAGCCGCCGCGGUAAUAC
rnacentral:rRNA from 1 species